rnacentral:lncRNA from 1 species
GUUGGGCUGCUUCCAACUUUUGAAAAUCUGAUUGAAUUAACUUGAAUUUAGCUUUGAGAUAAGAUAAUAUAUGUGUGUGUGUGUGUGUGUCUAUAUAUAUAUUUAUUUAUUUUAAUUAAUUAUUUAUAGAUAAUAUAAAAUAUUAUUAUAUACUAAUUAUCUUUUGUGUAUUUUUUACUUGUAAUUAAAAUUGGUUAUUAUCUUUUAAAAGAAUAAUGGC